UGAAAGGAAACAAAGAAAGAGUAAAUAGACACUCUUCAUCACUAAUUCCUCUACUGAGUAUUAAUGAAUAUUCUCACUCUAAAGCAGUGCAUAGGCAAGAGGAUGAGCAUUCCAAUGAGGAUCUUGAAUCAAAGAGGCCUAAAAGAUUGGGUGCUUUGAAAGGCGCACAAAAAACGAAAAAUCUAUAUCUUCAUGGAAAUGCUUAAUAUUCAUUACUUGUACCUUGUAAAUAAUUCUUGUAUAUAUUUAAUUGUAUGGGACGUGAGUUUUUUUUACUACUAAUAAAUAGAUAUUCAAUUUCUUCUGACACUAAAACAGUUGAAAUUGAAUGUCUUUGCUGGGAGUGUUGAAAAAAAAGUGAAACUUUUUUUUUUUUUUUCACUUUGUUCUUUCUAACUUUGAGUGUAGUGUCCACCCUUUAUGGUCCUUGAUUUCUACUCUUCGCUCGUUUCAAAAUUUUACGAGUGGGUUUUUUUGGGGGGAAAGGUUUAAAUUAUUUAUAAUGGUUAGUUCGUGCUCUUGCUUUGGAGACUCAUUCAGUUUCAAAAUGUUACGUUUUAAGUUUGGAAAAGCAUCAAUAGUUUGCAACCAUAAAAUUCCUCCUUUAAAAUGAUUAAAUUUGAUACUAGAGUUUUGAGACUGAACGAAACCUUUAAUCCACCUCAAAAGUUUACUUCUAGUCCCAGCGUUUGAAGACGAGUAGUGCAUUUUUCACUCAGCAGCCGAGAAGGGCGGGUCAACUCUUCAGUAAUUUUCACCUAUCCAGCCUAAAUUUUACCAUGAAGCAUUAAGUGACUAGUGUGACCGUUGGUCGAGGAUGAUCCUGCUUGGAAGUGCGUGCUCUUGGAUUGCUUCUUUUUUGAGGCUACUAUACCAUGGAGUUACAGCAAGUUUACAUCGACUCGUGAAUUAACUACGACAGCUGCAAUUGACCUAGAGAGGCUUGCUUAGAGUGGAGAUCCUGAGGACUUUUCUGAUAUUGGGGGUUAUUAGUGAGGUCGCAUCAUCGGUCUUCAUAGGGACGGAUACCUCGCUUAAAUGACAAGAAGCAAUAAGACAACCUACGAUCCUGAGCCAUUUUCUCGAAUACAUAUUUCGGUGAAAGUUCUGUUUAUGUAAAAUAAAUAUUUAAAAUCGC